GCUCCCUUCGGGGAGUGCAUAAAGUGGCGCACGGGUGAGUAACACGUAAGUAAUCUACCCUCGAGUGGGGAAUAACGUCCGGAAACGGACGCUAAUACCGCACAAUGCAGCGGCACCGCAAGGUGACAGUUGUUAAAGAUUUAUCGCUUGAGGAGGAGCUUGCGGCAGAUUAGCUAGUUGGUAAGGUAAUGGCUUACCAAGGCAACGAUCUGUAACCGGUCUAAGAGGACGGUCGGUCACACUGACACUGAAUAACGGGUCAGACUCCUACGGGAGGCAGCAGUCGGGAAUUUUGGGCAAUGGGCGAAAGCCUGACCCAGCAACGCCGCGUGAAGGAUGAAGUAUUUCGGUAUGUAAACUUCGAAAGAAUAGGAAGAAUAAAUGACGGUACUAUUUAUAAGGUCCGGCUAACUACGUGCCAGCAGCCGCGGUAAUACGUAGGGACCAAGCGUUGUUCGGAUUUACUGGGCGUAAAGGGCGCGUAGGCGGCGUGACGAGUCACUUGUGAAAUCUCUGGGCUUAACCCAGAACGGCCAAGUGAAACUGUCGUGCUAGAGUGCGGAAGGGGCAAUCGGAAUUCUCGGUGUAGCGGUGAAAUGCGUAGAUAUCGAGAGGAACACCUGAGGUGAAGA
rnacentral:rRNA from 1 species